rnacentral:rRNA from 1 species
AAUAUUGGACAAUGGGGGGAACCCUUAUCCAGCCAUGCCGCGUGUGUGAAGAAGGCCUUUUGGUUGUAAAGCACUUUAAGCGAGGAGGAGGAGCUCUUGGUUAAUACCCAAGAUGCUUGGACGUUACUCGCAGAAUAAGCACCGGCUAACUUCGUGCCAGCAGCCGCGGUAAUACGAAGGGUGCAAGCGUUAAUCGGAAUUACUGGGCGUAAAGCGCGCGGAGGUGGUUUGUUAAGUUGGAAGUGAAAGCCCCGGGCUCAACCUGGGAACUGCUUUCAUAACUGCUGAGCUAGAGUACGGUAGAGGGUAGUGGAAUUUCCUGUGUAGCGGUGAAAUGCGUAGAUAUAGGAAGGAACACCAGUGGCGAAGGCGACUACCUGGACUGAUACUGACACUGAGGUGCGAAAGCGUGGGGAGCAAAC